rnacentral:rRNA from 1 species
UACGAAGGGGGGCUAGCGUUGCUCGGAAUGACUGGGCGUAAAGGGCGCGUAGGCGGCUUGUAUAGUCGGAUGUGAAAUUCCUGGGCUUAACCUGGGGGCUGCAUACGAGACGUAUGGGCUUGAGUGCGGAAGAGGGUCGUGGAAUUCCCAGUGUAGAGGGUGAAAUUCGUAGAUAUCGGGAGGAACACCAGUGGCGAAGGCGGCGCCUGGACGGACACUGACGCUGAGACGCGAAAGCGUGGGGAGCAAACAGG